rnacentral:rRNA from 1 species
UGAGGAAUAUUGGUCAAUGGGGGCAACCCUGAACCAGCCAAGUCGCGUGAAGGAUGAAGGUCUUAUGGAUUGUAAACUUCUUUUAUACAGGAAUAAAUUGGGGGACGUGUCCCCUUUUGCAUGUACUGUAUGAAUAAGGAUCGGCUAACUCCGUGCCAGCAGCCGCGGUAAUACGGAGGAUCCGAGCGUUAUCCGGAUUUAUUGGGUUUAAAGGGUGCGCAGGCGGGAUGUUAAGUCGGCGGUGAAAUUUUGCAGCUCAACUGUAAAAGCGCCUUCGAUACUGGCUUCCUUGAGUGUAGAUGAAGUAGGCGGAAUUUGUGGUGUAGCGGUGAAAUGCUUAGAUAUCACGAGGAACUCCGAUUGCGCAGGCAGCUUACUAAACUACAACUGACGCUCAUGCACGAAGGCGUGGGGAUCAAACA